CUACGUGCCAGCAGCCGCGGUAAUACGUAGGUCCCGAGCGUUGUCCGGAUUUAUUGGGCGUAAAGCGAGCGCAGGCGGUUAGAUAAGUCUGAAGUUAAAGGCUGUGGCUUAACCAUAGUACGCUUUGGAAACUGUUUAACUUGAGUGCAAGAGGGGAGAGUGGAAUUCCAUGUGUAGCGGUGAAAUGCGUAGAUAUAUGGAGGAACACCGGUGGCGAAAGCGGCUCUCUGGCUUGUAACUGACGCUGAGGCUCGAAAGCGUGGGGAGCGAACAGGAUUAGAUACCCUGGUAGUCCACGCCGUAAACGAUGAGUGCUAGGUGUUAGACCCUUUCCGGGGUUUAGUGCCGUAGCUAACGCAUUAAGCACUCCGCCUGGGGAGUACGACCGCAAGGUUGAAACUCAAAGGAAUUGACGGGGGCCCGCACAAGCGGUGGAGCAUGUGGUUUAAUUCGAAGCAACGCGAAGAACCUUACCAGGUCUUGACAUCCCUCUGACCGCUCUAGAGAUAG
rnacentral:rRNA from 1 species